rnacentral:lncRNA from 1 species
CAUCGUUGCCCACCUUUUUCUGGCUUGGGCUGCUAUUUGCAAUGUUGUUAUUGCACUGUGAAGGGUCAUCUUCCGGUGAUUUUUCCGCAAGCGAUAGGUUCUGAUGUUGCGGCUUCUUGCAUGAACCUUCUGCUUCUUUCUCCAACUGUUUCUUUUCACGCCUCAGCAUCAAGGUGUGGAAACGGCCCUGUACGAUCUGACAGACAUUACAUGUGCAUGUUUGCUUGUGUUUUGGGCCCUUUCCACUGGGGAGCUGUAUACAAACAAUACACGAACACCCCGGUUGGUGUCGAGGAUGCUUUGUUGUGGCUUGAGAUGAUGAAAAAGAUGAUGGGAGCACCUCGCCUUCUCCUAAGAUUGCUGGGUUGGCGAGAGUAUCCAGCCCCUCCAUAUUCUCUUGUUUAGGAGCCUUGGCUUUCUUAUAAGGUGCUGCACAACCAUAAUGAUGGAUUGAUUACAAGGAAUCAGAUCAAAGUCAAAAAGACCACCAAACUGCAAAGUACAAGUAAUUCAAUAUACCAAACUCAAGUCAAUUUCCUACACAUGAACAAAAUUAAACAUACUGGCCCGUCCUUAGGGGAAAAAUCUCAGUUCAAUAUGGUGAACUAGAAUAAAGAAAAGUUAGGCUUGAUGUCCGUCACUUUGGAUUUGGACCUUGUACUAUUACUCAAGCCCUUCAACAGAAUCCCAGGCAGGUUCUCUAAUGAACCAUAUAGGAGUUUCCAUCAAUUUAAGAUAAAUCAGGGUCAAAGGUCCCAUGACACCUUGCUUUGACCUGAGCUAUGCAACAACCAAAUACCCCUGAUCUGUGCAUUGAUGGUCCCCACUACACCGUUCACUUGGGAGUUCUUACUCCAUAUUACCAAACUAAAGGAAGUGAGCGGGCUACUGUCAAGGAAUUUUGUCAGGCAUUUCAUAAAAGAUCCUAGAAAUAGCACCCAUCCAUGAGGAUCUCCACUAUGCAGUGGUUAUUCAUUGUUUGCAACUCUCCUUGCUAUUCUCCGAAGAGGCUUCUACAUCUCAAAUCUGCAAGUUUUCCAGUCACAGGAGGAUAACUCGGUGCUAGGCCAAGGUCCAUAAACUGAGAUCAUUUCUUGCAAGAAAAGCCUCGUUUUUUGUUAAUCUAGUCACUCAAGACAGGCUAUCCCCAGAUGACUCAACAAUAGUACUAUGUUCAGCACCCUUCAACUGCCAUUAGGUUGACAGUAAAACAAAUCCUGGGUUGUAAACAGUGAUUAAUCUGCAUGAACCGUAUUGCGUGUACUUAUGCUAACAGGACAUUAAAUAUUCAUAAUAGAAGACUCUGGUCUUCUUUAAGCAAAAUUUUUUGUCUUUGCUCUCUCAGGCUCCGAAUAAUAUAUCAUGAAACAAAUAAUAAUUUUUAUGCCUUGUAUUAUCUUUUAGAUAAAUGUGCACAUGUACUAGCACAUAGCUAUCAAUAUGGCAAAAAAACAAUCGUUUGUGUUUAAAUACCGGUUUGUGGCAUAUAAAUUUGCUUCUGUGCAUUUUUGGCUAAGCCAUGGAAAACUUCUCAAACGUAUCCAAACUUCCCCUCCUUGAAGGAUCUCUCAUUUUUUUUUUGCAUAUUGCAAUAUCGGUCCAUUUCCCAGAUUAAAAUGGAGCACCAUUCAAAGACAACAUGACAAAGUCAUAGGCCACAACAGAGGCAAUCUGUAACCUUCAUUUAUAAGGGUGUAGGCAGUCGUAUUGUAAUAAUUUUUUGCCUACUUUAAACCAAAGUACAGGAAGUCUAUCCAUCUAUCAGUGUCCCAAGCAAACCAUACCUGGAUUAUCAUCAGGUGGCAUAUCUUCAAGCUCUUCUGCUGUCAAGUCUUGAUCCGCCGAGCAGGAUGAUCUGAUGAAACAUAAUACUUAGAGCUAUGGAUUAAAUAAGCAAGGUAAUACACAUUUUUCUAUCAAAUGUGAAGGUUAAAUGGCCAAAUGACCAACUUUUAAAAGAGGGAAGACAUUCUCUAAUGAGUAUGGCAUAACAGGACCGGAGGCUCCAAAAACAAUACCAGGAAAAAAGCUAUAGAUCAGCAAUCAGAGAAGCAUCAUAUCACUCAAAGCUCCCAAUUAGUAAAUAGAGUUGCAAAUAGCUUACCGGUUUCCCACCACAGAGUGAAAAGGACUACUGUAAAUCUACAAGUCUAAUGUUCAAACAGCUCAUGGGUACAUUAAAAUUAAGACUAAGGCAUGACAGCAGUAUAACCCGGAUCGAGCGAGCCCCCUCAUGACCCCUCGCGCGGACAAAAAGAUUCGAGGCAACACGAAAAUCCCCCCAGCAACUGCGAACAACAACAGAAAAACACGCAAUCCGCAAAGCGGCGACGCGAACCAUAACGCCUCUGUUCCUCCCUCCACCCCCAUUCCCGCGACUUCUUUCGGCGCAGCCGGGGAACGACGAAUCGCGAGGAUCCGCACCGGACGAAACCGCGAGAUCGCAACGGAAUUCGCUGAAUCCAUCGAUCACCACCCCCGAGAUCAACUCGACCGCGCCCAAAAAAAGAGAAUGCAGAAAAGGAAACGGAUUGCGACCGUACUCCGAUGCGCACGAGGCAGGCGAGAGAGAUCCCCGUAUCGCGUUCCCUCUGCAAAUCCGUGCGGCCGCAGAUCGGCGACGAAUCCCGCCGGCGAGAGAGAGAGAGAGAGAGAGAGAGAGAGGGAAAAGGCAACCCAUUUUUUGCUGAUUUUGAACAAUUCAUACCUACCUUUCAUUCACAGAUUUUGGCCAUGGAACCGGUGCCGCCUCUUGGACGGAUUUUUCAAUUGGCCGUCCAGGAAGAGAGCCAGAGGCUCGCAUCAUCAAACUCGGCGAAAGGAGGAGAGAUUUUCGCCCUCGCAAGCCGCAGGGAAAGGAGAGAUGCGGAACCGAAAACCCUAACGCAGCACGAAAAGGGGGCGCAGGAAGAAGAGCUAGGGUUUCGGCCUGACGACGCCCGACUUCUUAAAAGAGGAGGAAUGGACGACCUAGAUCUCCCGCGCUGAUCGGACGGUCCAAAAAGAUUCACUUACUCGAGUGGAUUGGACGGCGGAGAUGGCCCGAAUGGAAAAGGAUCCGACGGUGGUGGAAUUUUCUCAGCAUUUGCAAAAAAAUUUAAUGAAAAGGUAAAGGUAAAUUAUAUUGUGAGUUUUGCAGACGUCCACACCAUAUAAUAGAAAAUUGUUGGAAACUACAUGGUAAGCCUAGAGAAAAAGGAAAAAAGAAGAAAAUUUCUACAGCUUAUCAAAUCAGUGAUUCUAGUGCUGAUCGAUCUAUAACAUAUGAACAAUAUCAACAUCUAAUGCAAGCACUACAGAAAUUAGACACCUCAAGCAAGAGAGAAAUUUUCCAGGUCUCUCUCGUUGCCUGAUUAAUAAUAUUUCGAGAAAAGCUUGGAUAAUUUAUUCUGGGGCAAGUGAUCAUAUUGUCUGUGAAAGGGGGUUAUUUUCAGAUAUACAUGAGAACUCGGAUUUCCCUAUUACUUUGCAAUUACCCAAUGGGAAUGUCACUCAUGUUACUAUUACUGGAACAGUCAAAUUUAGCCCACAAAUCAUACUCCAAAAUGUCCUUUAUGUACCAGAAUUUCGAUUUAAUCUUAUUUCUAUGUCCAAAGUCUGCAAAGAAAAUUCAUGUCGUGUACAGUUUGAUUCUGACACUUACUUCUUUUAGGCCCUUUCGACUGGCAAAGUGAUGGGCUUGGAUAGUCUUUCUAAAGGACUGUUUCUUUGGAAAAAUUUCCUAAGUAAUCUUGAUUUGUUAUCAUUUUGUUCCAAUAAAACAUCAUUGUGUAACACAACUACCAAUGAUAAAAAUUAUCUUAUGCAUUCCCGAUUGGGUCAUAGUGCUUCAUUUCCUCACUCUAAGUGUCAAAUAUGUCCCCUUGCAAAACAAUCACGCAUUCCUUUUCCUUCUAGCAAAAGCCGUGCCAAUAACAUUUUUUCCUUGAUUCAUGUGGAUGUUUGGGGCCCUUAUCAUACUUUACAUCAUAAUGGGUCACGUUAUUUCUUGACAAUUGUGGACGACUAUUCUUGUGCCACAUGGAUUUUUCUGAUGCAGUCAAAGGGGCAAGUUUUCUCACAUUUGAAAACUUUUAUCACCCUAUCCAAGAACCAAUUUGGGAAAUCUAUUCAGUGAAUCCGGACAGACAAUGGUAAGGAAUUUUUCAACAAUGACUGCAAUUUCCUCCUAUCAUCUCAUGGGAUUCUCCAUGAAAGUUCUUGCGUCUAUACCCCCACAACAGAAUGGAGUAGUGGAGCGUAAACAUCGCCACUUAUUGGAAGUUGCACGUGCGUUGAGAUUUCAAGCAUCUAUUCCGGAACAUUAUUGGGGCGAAUGCAUAGUUAUUGCAGCCUACCUCAUCAACCGCAUGCCAACUCGGGUACUCAAUGGAAAAACUCCAUUUGAGCUACUUUUCAAGAAGAAACUAGAAUUGGAGCAUUUAAGGAUAUUCGGAUGCCUGUGCUUUGCUAUUGUAUUGGGCCCUGAGACAAAAUGAGCCCCCGAGCUCGACAUUGCGUCUUCAUGGGCUAUCUGAACCUACAAAAAGGAUUUCAUGUCCUUGAUCAGUCGACUUUGGAAUUAUUUGUCAGCAGAGAUGUCAUUUUUCAUGAAGACGUGUUUCCUUUUCAUGAAAAGGAUUUUUUGGGAGAAAUUCCAAGCACUUCCAUACGUCCUGAUGACUCCCCAUCUAUAGAAGAAUCGACUCUUCGAUAUUUUCUGACAAUAAAUCCAUAAGUUGUUCUAGUGAUGAGUCCAAUUUCUACUGAAGAUCCUACACCGGAAGUUGCUGUAGAAACAGUUCAAGAAAGUUUCCUAGUGAUAGAAGCUCCUUCCAAUGAGAUUGGCGUUAUUGAAAGAUCUUCCCCAUCCUCUACUCCACCACAAGCAAAUCCUCCUCGAUGAUCUGGUCAUUCUACACAACCACCAACUUGGACAAAGGAUUAUGUUUGUGCAUCCCUCAAUUCACCAGGUACCCACUACCCAAUAUCAUCUUAUGUUUCGUUUCAUAGACUUUCACCGGAACAUAGAUGUUGUGUUAGUCGAAUAUCGGAGGAUAUCGAACCAUCCAGCUAUGAAGAAGCAGUUGGCGAUACAAGGUGGCAAGAAGCUAUGGAAGCUUAAUUACAUGCUUUAAUUGCCAAUAAGACCUGGGACUUGGUAAAUCUACCUCCGCAUAGGAAACCCAUUGGAUGCAAGUGGGUAUACAAAAUUAAAUACUGAGCCGAUGGCUCCACUGAACGUUACAAAGCUCGGUUGGUGGCCAAAGAAUUUACGCAACGGGAAGGUUUCGACUACCAUGAAACCUUUUCCCCAAUGGCUAAGGAUGUAACUAUAAGGUCCUUUCUAUCUAUUGCAGCUAUUAAUGAUUGGCCAUUAUAUCAAAUGGAUGUGCAUAAUGCUUUUCUACAUAGAGAUUUAGAUGAGGAAAUAUAUAUAGAUAUUCCUCAAGGAUUAUAGAGACGGGGAAGAAUAGAGUAUGACAUCUCCGCAAAUCCCUCUAUGGCCUAAAGCAAGCGUCUAGGCAAUGGUACGCCAAAUUUGCUGAUGCUCUCACCUCUGCAGGUUUCAAACAGUCCAAAUAUGAUUACGCCUUAUUCACAUGGACUCAAGGUAUGUCAUCUAUUUACUUGAUGAUAUAUGUUGAUGAUAUCCUUAUGAUGGGCAAUGAUAGAACUGCAAUAGAAAAUUUCAAGAAGUACUUGCAUUUUACUUUUCACAUUAAAGACUUGGGAGCACCAAAAUACUUCCUUGGGAUCGAGAUUGCUCAAUCUGAUUGUGGGAUUUCUCUUAGCCAACGGAAAUUUGUGCUGGAAAUUAUUUCCGAAGCAAGUCUUUUAGGAUGCAAACCAUCGGUUAUUCCAAUUGAGCAGAACAUAAAAUUGACCACCAAAGAUUAUGAUGUUGGAACAUCUAAGAAUCAUGAUCCUUUCCUCAAGGAUCCUUCAAGUUAUCAGAAACUCGUCGGGAAACUCAUAUAUCUAACUAUGACCAGACCUGAUAUAUCAUAUGCAGUGCAGACUCUCAGUCAAUUUAUGCACAGUCCCAAAUUGUCUCAUAUGAGUGCUGCUUUAAAGGUCAUGAAGUACUUGAAAGGGUGUCCAGGACUAGGGAUUUUCUUAUCCAUAAAAUGCAAUAUGGAAAUGUCGGCAUACUGUGAUUCAGAUUAUGCAACCUGUCCUAUGAGCCGAAGAUCCAUUACAAGCUUCUACAUUAAGCUUGGAGAAUCUCUUCUUUCAUGGAAGACCAAGAAGCAGGCCACCGUAUCAUUAUCUUCAGCUGAGACAAAAUAUCGAGCCAUGGCAAGGACUAUUUGUGAGAUUAUAUGGAUACGGGGAUUGCUCCAGGAUCUUGGGAUAAAAUUGAAGGGUCCGACAAGAUUGUUCUGUGACAACAAUGCAACGCUCAAACUUGUAGCUAACCCCAUAAUGCAUGAAAGAACAAAGCAUAUAGAAGUGGAUUGUCAUUUCACUCGAGAAAAAAUUCAAAAAGGGAUAAUUGAGACAAGAGGAAUUGGAACGGCAGAACAACCGGCUGAUAUUUUUGCGAAGCCCCUAUGUCAAAGACAACAUGCAUAUCUAUUGAGCAAGCUAAGUGUCUUGGACAUCUACCAGCCACUAACUUGAGGGGGAGUGUUGAAAGAUAUGCAUCAGAUCGGAUGUUGGAGAUAUGCUCGGAAUCUCGCUUGGUUAUGAUUGUUUAUAAAUUAGUUAGGAAUCAGAAUCUAAUUUAUUGUGAUAUCACAAAAUAUACUUUUACCUUUUUCUUGUAUUAUCUCUGUACUAUAAUUACAGAAGUUUGUACAACAGAAUAUAUAAUGAGUACAAAUUUCCACAUCUCUCUCGUUUUCUUCAGAAUAGUUCAUCUUCUUUCAUGAAAGAACAGAACUAUCACCGGGCAAUGCAAAAUGGGAGAACGUUAAGCUGCUUAUUCUCUUCAGUUUGACCAACUUAAGGGAUCUGAAGUCUGCUUAAGGAGGUUUCGUGGGUGACUUGUGAAUGCGUGGGCAUACACCCUUAGGAGAUUGCAAGAAAUAGAUGGGGAAGCAGCUAGGAUUGACCUGGUUGACCCCCUAAUGCUAGCUCAUAGCAAUACAAGUUCACACGUAUAAUGUCAACUCUCUGAGAAGAAAAAGCUUCAAUGUGGGUCGUGUAGGGCAUUAACAGUUCCUGGUCAGACCACCGAAACCUUAGUGGGGCCUAUGUUUCUCUGCUGACGGCAUGUCUUAAAGAUGCGGUACCGAAACUUCAUGAAAUCUAGGCUUUGAUUCGUCAAGAAAUUCCAAAAAAAUCUUAUGCUGCAGCUGGCUAGGGAGAUGGUAAUUGCCUUCUGAUCUUCAAAACAACUUGAAAGUACUUCGGUAAAUUAUAGCGUCCCUCCCCUGAGACUGGUUUGCGUUCGUGCUGACUUACAGGACGCAAAAUUCGGAUGUUAGAUUCUGUUGAAGGAAAGCAACUUUGCCACCAGUUGGAUCAUGAAAUUUGGACACUAAUGUGCAUUGUCUAUGCUUAUUAAACUGGAAUGGGUGUGACAAUCCACUUUCCGAAGUGGUCAGAUCCCGAUUUUGAUCGUCAUGAACGAGAAUGUAAAGGUGCGCAUACUAAGUUUUGGAAAAAUGCAAAGGCUGAAAGUGGUUCGAUAGGCUGAUCAAGAAUCAUCUUGAGAGGGUGAUAUACGGAUCGCAUUUUAUGUGAAUUUGAAUUUUGGGAUGCUUUGCUUGGGAUCACUCUCACUUAGUACCCGUUAUUUUUCUACACCAUUGACGUCACCAAUCAAUCUCGCGUCUUUAGAGCAUGCGAAGCAUCGGCAAACAACCAGCUAUAAUGAGAAAAGGAUGAGUAAUAUUCAGUGGCUAUACUCAUCGUAUCCACCGUAACAAUCUUCAGUGGUUAUACUCAUCGUAUCCACUGUAACUUGGUGCAAACGCCCGGUUUUCUCUCUUUAAAAACUACGGUGAUACAGGAUCGCUCCUCCGAGACUUGAUCCACAAGUCCGAUUUUAUCUGAGCCAAUGCAUAAAAACACAUCGCUCACGCCUCCCGCAACAUGUAUUAAUUUCUACUCUUGAAAGGUCAGAACAAUGGGCUGGUUAGGUCCCCGUUGCUUCAAGCAAGCACAGCAACGAUCACUCAAGAAGGAAGAAAAAAUUGUAAGCGUAUCAGUUUAGCUCUGAAAAACUCCGGAAAUCAGCUGAUAUUACAGCGACAGGGGCAACAAUAUCGUGUAUAAAUUAGCAAAAUGAAUGGACUUUUAACCAUUUGGUCUAAUUCCUACUCUCUUCCUAUGUACAGGAACUCAAAUAGCCCAAUCUCAAAAUGGAUGAAUGUACAACCACAAAUACCUGUCCCAAAUCUGCCAUGGAAAACACAGCAAAAACCCUACAUCAGGAUCAAUACAGCGAUGCGUAUUAGGUACACAAUGUUUUAUUUAUGCACCGUAGAUGCCAAAGCUUUAGCUCGUUCCUCGUUGACCUCUUGCUGACCACUCUCUACCGUGUCACUGACAAGCCUCUCGCCUCCAUCUAGAUCCACCACAGCAGGAUCACCUGUGGAAUUCCUGAAGCUGUCUUGGGUCAAAGCCCUCUGCCUGAGAUAUUUCUGGGUGGCAUCAUGUAGCAACUUCAUCAUACCACCAGAAUCUGACCCAGGCGAGAGCUCCUCCUCGCGCUCUGGCUGAAUAUUAAGAUCGAUCUGACCUUCAAAAGGUGAACCCGAGCUUUUAACCCUGUUCAUUUCGUCGUCAGAACCAUCGUUGCCCACCUUUUUCUGGCUUGGGCUGCUAUUUGCAAUGUUGUUAUUGCACUGUGAAGGGUCAUCUUCCGGUGAUUUUUCCGCAAGCGAUAGGUUCUGAUGAUGCGGCUUCUUGCGUGAACCUUCUGCUUCUUUCUCCAACUGUUUCUUUUCGCGCCUCAGCAUCAAGGUGCGGAAACGGCGCUUUACGGUCAGACAGACAUUACAUGUGCAUGUUUGCUUGUGUUUUGGGCCCUUUCCACUGGGGAGCUGUAUACAAACAAUACACGAACACCCCGGUCGGUGUCGAGGAUGCUUUGUUGUGGCUUGAGAUGAUGAAGAAGAUGAUGGGAGCACCUCGCCUUCUCCUAAGAUUGCUAGGUUGGCGAGAGUAUGCAGCCCCUCCAAUGCUUCCAUAUUCUCUUGUUUAGGAGCCUUGGCUUUCUUAUAAGGUGCUGCACAACCACAAUGAUGGAUUGAUUACGAGGAAUCAGAUCAAAGUCAAAAAGACCACCAAACUAAGGUACAAGUAAUUCAAUAUACCAAACUCAAGUCAAUUUCCUACACAUUAACAAAACUAAACAUACCAGCCCAUCCUUAGGGGAAAAAUCUCAGUUGAAUAUGGUGAACUAGAAUAAAGAAAAGUUAGGCUUGAUGUAAUUCCGUCACUUUGGAUUUGGACCUUGUACUAUUACUCAAGCCCUUCAACAGAAUCCCAGGCAGGUUCUCUGAUGAACCAUAUAUAAGUUUCCAUCAAUUUAGAUAAAUCAGGGUCAAAGGUCCCAUGGCACCUUGCUUUGACCUGAGCUAUGCAACAACCAAAUACACCUGAUCUGUGCAUUGAUGGUCCCCACUACACCGUUCACUUGGGAGUUCUUACUCCAUAUUACCAAACUAAAGGAAGUGAGUGGGCUACUGUCGAGGAAUUUUGUCAGGCAUUUCAUACAAGAUCCUAGAAAUAGCACCCAUCCAUGAGGAUCCCCACUAUGCAAUGGUUAUUCAUUGUUUGCAGCUCUCCUUGCUAUUCUCUAAAGAGGCUUCUACGUCUCAAAUCUGCAAGUUUUCCAGUCGCAGGAGGAUAACUCGCUGCUAGGCCAAGGUCCAUAUACUGAGAUCAGUUCUUGCGAGAAAAGCCUCAUUUUUUGUUAAUCUAGUCACUCAAGACAGGCUAUCCCCAGAUGACUCAACAAUAGUACUAUGUUCAGCACCCUUCAACUGCCAUUAGUUUGACGGUAAAACGAAUCCUGGGUUGUAAACAGUGAUUAAUCUGCAUGAACCAUAUUGCGUGUACUUAUGCUAACAGGACAUUAAAUAUUCAUAAUAGAAGACUCUGGUCUUCUUCAAGCAAAAAAAAAUUUCUUUGCUCUCUCAGACUCCAAAUAAUAUCAUGAAACAAAUAAUAAUUUUUAUGCCUUGUAUUAUCUUUUAGAUUAAUAAGCACAUGUACUAGCAUACAGCUAUGAAUAUGGCAAAAAUACAAUCGUUUGUGUUUAAAUACCGGUUUGUGGCAAAUUAAUUUGCUUCUGUGCAUUUUUGGCUAAGCCAUGGAAAACUUCUCAAACGUAUCCAAACUUCCCCUCCUUGAAGGAUCUCUCAUUUUCGUUUGCACAUUGCAAUAUCGGUCCAUUUCCCAGAUUAAAAUGGAGCACCAUUCAAAGACAACAUGACAAAGUCAUAGGCCACAACAGAGGCAAUCUGUAACCUUCAUUUAUAAGGGUGUAGGCAGUCGUAUUGUAAUAAUUUUUUGCCUACUUUAAACCAAAGUACAGGAAGUCUAUCCAUCUAUCAGUGUCCCAAGCAAACCAUACCUGGAUUAUCAUCAGGUGGCAUAUCUUCAAGCUCUUCUGCUGUCAAGUCUUGAUCCGCCGAGCAGGAUGAUCUGAUGAAACAUAAUACUUAGAGCUAUGGAUUAAAUAAGCAAGGUAAUACACAUUUUUCUAUCAAAUGUGAAGGUUAAAUGGCCAAAUGACCAACUUUUAAAAGAGGGAAGACAUUCUCUAAUGAGUAUGGCAUAACAGGACCGGAGGCUCCAAAAACAAUACCAGGAAAAAAGCUAUAGAUCAGCAAUCAGAGAGGCAUCAUAUCACUCAAAGCUCCCAAUUAGUAAAUAGAGUUGCAAAUAGCUUACCGGUUCCCACCACAGAGUGAAAAGGACUACUGUAAAUCUACAAGUCUAAUGUUCAAACAGCUCAUGGGUACAUUAAAAUUAAGACUAAGGCAUGACAGCAGUAUAACCCGGAUCGAGCGAGCCCCCUCAUGACCCCUCGCGCGGACAAAAAGAUUCGAGUGGCAACACGAAAAUCCCCCCAGCAACUGCGAACAACAGCAGAAAAACACGCAAUCCGCAAAGCGGUGACGAGAACCAUAACGCCUCUCUUCCUCCCUCCACCCCAUUCCCGCGACUUCUUUCUGCGCAGCCUGGGAACGACGAAUCGCGAGGAUCCGCACCGGACGAAACCGCGAGAUCGCAACGGAAUUCGCUGAAUCCAUCGAUCGCCACCCCCGAGAUCAACUCGACCGCGCCCAAAAAAAGAGAAUGCAGAAAAGGAAACGGAUUGCGACCGUACUCCGAUGCGCACGAGGCAGGCGAGAGAGAUCCCCGUAUCGCGCGUUCCCUCUGCAAAUCCGUGCGGCCGCAGAUCGGCGACGAAUCCCGCCGGCGAGAUAGAGAUAGAGAGAGAGAGAGAGAGAGGGAAUUCGAUAUUUGGAGAGUCGCGACAGGUAGGGGUGUAAAAAAAAAACCGACAUUUCUUGGUCACGAAGCUUCUCAAUCUUUUUAGAUGAAGUAUAGUGUUAAACCUGAGGCAAGCAUAUGCAAUGGUGACAUGAAGAAAAGUCCCCAUAUUUCUCUUUAGCUUGACUAAUCGAUUUAAAGCAGUUUCUUCUAGUGCUUGGAACCUAUAUAGCAUCAACACGAACACGCGAUAUAGCACCGAUACGAACACGCGACACAACAUGACACGACAUGCCGACACGUCAUUUCUUAAAAAUAGAGAAUUUCGACACGUUCUGACACGUUAUAUAUUAAAUAUAUUUUUAUAUAUAAAUACAUAAAUAAUAAUAAAAUAGCCUAGAAUUAAUUUACACGAAAAAUAUUAAAUAAUAUCAUUCAUUAUUUUAAUUUGUUACAAUAAUACACAAAACUUAGAGGAAAAAAAAUAUUGUUUAAAGAAAAAUGCUGAAAUGAUAUUUUUAAAUGUAUUUAUUUGUCAUAUAUAGUAUUUUUUAUUACUUCUUUCAUAAUAAAAGACUUUUUAAAAAAAUAAAACAAUUCUAAAAUAAAAAAACUGAAAAAAAAAAUAUUGACUCCAUGCGUGUAUAUUUAUAGCAAUUUUAUUAUUUCUUUUGUUACUUCUUUUGGGUAUACUUAUAUUUUUUACCUCUCAAGUAUUAGAAAUUUUUAAAAUUGACCCCGUGUGUGUCAGAAUCACAUGUCGAAAUUCUGGACUCGCGUGUCGGAGAGAGUUGACCACAUGUCGGAUUUUUCGACACUCAUUGACCGUGUGUCGGAGCGUGUCGAGACGUGUCAAAACGUGUCAGACACGUGUCAGAAGUGUCGGAUACGACACAAACGCUUCCGGAGAGUGUCCAUGAUACAUAACUUGGAACUAAUGCUACAACAAACUGCCGUCCCUGUGGAGCGACCUUGAAGCCACAGAAGAGAAACUCGAGGGACCAGAGGAGACACUCGCACAUUAUCGAUCGAUCAAAGAAAGGGAAAAGGCAACCCAUUUUUUGCUGAUUUUGAACAAUUCAUACUUGACUUUUCGUUCACAGAUUUUGGCCAUGGAACCGAUGCCGCCUCUUGGACGGAUUUUUCAAUUGGCCGUCCAGGAAGAGAGCCAGAGGCUCGCAUCAUCAAACUCGGCGAAAGGAGGAGAGAGUUUCGCCCUCACAAGCCGCAAGGAAAGGAGAGAUGCGGGAACGAAAACCCUAGCGUCGCACGAAAAGGGGGCGUAGGAAGAAGAGCUAGGGUUUCGGCCCGACACGCCCAACUUCUUAAAAGAGGAGGAAUGGACGGCCCAGAUCUCUCGCGCCGAUCGGGCGGUCCAAAAAGAUUCACUUACUUGAGUGGAUCGGACGGCGGAGAUGGCCCGAAUGGAAAAGGAUCCGACGAUGGUGGAAUUUUCUCAACAUUUGCAAAAAAAUUUAAUGCAAAAGGAAAAGGUAAAUUAUAUUGUGAGUUUUGUAGAUGUCCACACCAUACAAUAGAAAAUUAUUGGAAACUGCAUAGUAAACCCAAAGAAAAAGGAAAAAAGAAGGAAAUUUCUGCAGUUUAUCAAAUUAGUGAUUCUAGUGCUGAUCGGUCUAUAACAUAUGAACAAUAUCAACAUAUGAUGCAAGCACUAUAGAAAUUAGACACCUCAAGCAAGAGAGGAAAUUUUUCAGGUCUCUCUCGUUGCCUGAUUAAUAAUAUUUUGAGAAAAGCUUGGAUAAUUUAUUCUGGGGCAAGUGAUCAUAUUGUCUAUUAAAGGAGGUUAUUUUCAGAUAUACAUGAGAACCCGGAUUUCCUUAUUACUGUGCAAUUACCCAAUAGGAAUGUCACUCAUGUUACUAUUAUUGGAACAGUCAUACUUAGCCCACAAAUCAUACUCCAAAAUAUCCUUUAUGUACCAGAAUUUCGGUUUAACAUUGUUUCUGUGUCCAAAGUUUGCAAAGAAAAUUCAUGUCAUGUCGUGUUUGAUUCUGACAAUUGCUUCUUUCAGGCCCUUUCGACUGAUGGAGUGAUAGGCUUGGGUAGUCUCUCUGAAGGACUGUUUCUUUGGACAAAUUUCCCAAGUAAUCUUGAUUGUUAUCGUUUUGUUUCAAUAAAACAUUAUUGUGUAAUACAACUACCAGUGAUAAAAAUUAUCUUAUGCAUUCUCGAUUGGGUCAUAGUGCUUCAUUUUCUCACUCUAAGUGUCAAAUAUGUCCCCUUGCAAAACAAUCACGCAUUCCUUUUCCUUCUAGCAAAAGCCGUGCCGAUAACAUUUUUUCCUUGAUUCAUAUGGAUGUUUGGGGCCCUUAUCAUACUUUACAUCAUGAUGGGUCACGUUAUUUCUUGACAAUUGUGGACGACUAUUCUCGUGCCACAUGGGUUUUUCUGAUGCAGUCAAAGGGACAAGUUUUCUCACAUUUGAAAACUUUUAUCACCCUAUCCAAGAACCAAUUUGGGAAAUCUAUUCAGUGAAUCCGGACAGACAAUGGGAAUGAAUUUUUCAACAAUGACUGCAAAUUCCUCCUACCAUCUUACGGAUUCUCUUUGAAAGUUCUUGCGUCUAUAACCCCACAACAGAAUGGAGUAGUGGAGCGUAAACAUCGCCACUUAUUGGAAGUUGCACAUGUGUUGAGAUUUCAAGCAUCUAUUCCAAAACAUUAUUGGGGCGAAUGCAUAGUUACUGCAGCCUACCUCAUCAACCGCAUGCCAACUCGGGUACUCAAUGGAAAAACUCCAUUUGAGCUACUCUUCAAGAAGAAACCAGAAUUGGAGCAUCUAAGGAUAUUUAGAUGCCUGUACUUUGCUACUAUAUUGGGCCCUCGAGACAAAAUGGGUCGCCGAGCUCAACGUUGCGUCUUCAUGGGCUAUCCGAACCUACAAAAAGGAUUUUGUGUCCUUGAUCAGUCGACUUUGGAAUUCUUCGUCAGCAGAGAUGUCAUUUUUCAUGAAAACGUGUUUCCUUUUCAUGAAAAAGAUUUUUUUGGAGAAAUUCUAGGCACUUCCAUACGUCCUGAUGACUCCCCAUCUAUAGAAGAAUCGACUCCUGGAUAUUUUCUGACAAGAAAUCCAUAAGUUGUUCCAAUGAUGAGUCCAAUUUCUAUUGAAGAUCCUACACCAGAAGUUGCUAUAGAAACAGUUCAAGAAAGUUUCCUAGUGAUAGAAGCUCCUUCCAAUGAGAUUGGCGUUAUUGAAAGAUCUUCCCCAUCCUCUACUCUACCGCAAGCAAAUCCUCCUCGAUGAUCUGGUCAUUCUACACAACCACCAACUUGGACAAAGGAUUAUGUUUGUGCAUCCCUCAACUCACCAGGUACCCACUACCCAAUAUCAUCUUAUGUUUCGUUUCAUAGACUUUCACCGAAACAUAGAUGUUGUGUUAGUCGAAUAUCGGAGGAUAUCGAACCAUCCAGCUAUGAAGAAGCAGUUGGCGAUACAAGGUGGCAAGAAGUUAUGGGAGAUGAAUUACAAGCUUUAAUUGCCAAUAAGACCUGGGAUUUGGUAAAUCUACCUCCGCAUAGGAAACCCAUUAGAUGCAAGUGGAAAUACAAGAUUAAAUACUGAGCCGAUGGCUCCACUGAACGUUACAAAGCUCGGUUGGUGGCCAAACAAUUUACUCAACGGGAAGGUUUCGACUACCAUGAAACAUUUUCCCCAGUGGCUAAGGAUGUAACUAUAAGGUCCUUUCUAUCUAUUGUAGCUAUUAAUGAUUGGCCAUUACAUCAAAUGGAUGUGCAUAACGCUUUUCUGCAUGGAGAUUUAGAUGAGGAAAUAUAUAUAUAUAUCUCUCAAGGAUUACAGAGACAUGGGGAGAAUAGAGUAUGUCGUCUCCACAAAUCCCUCUAUGGCCUAAAGCAAGCGUCUAGGCAAUGGUACGCCAAAUUUGCUUAUGCUCUCACCUCUGCAGGCUUCAAACAGUCCAAAUAUGAUUACGCCUUAUUCACAUGGACUCAAGGUAUGUAAUCUAUUUACUUGAUGAUAUAUGUUGAUGAUAUCCUUAUCAUGGGCAGUGAUAGAACUGCAAUAGAAAAUUUCAAGAAGUACUUGCAUUUUACUUUUCACAUUAAAGACUGGGAGCACUAAAAUACUUCCUUGGGAUCGAGAUUGCUCAAUCUGAUCGUGGGAUUUCUCUUAGCCAACGGAAGUUUGUGCUGGAAAUUAUUUCUGAAGUAGGUCUUUCAUGAUGCAAACCAUCGGUUAUUCCAAUUGAGCAUAACAUAAAAUUGACCACCAAAGAUUAUGAUGUUGGAACAUCUGAGAAUCAUGAUCCCCUUCUCGAGGAUCCUUCAAGUUAUCAGAAGCUUAUCGGGAAACUCAUGUAUCUAACUAUAACCAGACCCGAUAUAUCAUAUGCAGUGCAAACUCUCAGUUAAUUUAUACACAGUCCCAAAUUGUCUCAUAUGAGUGCUGCUUUAAAGGUCAUGAAGUACUUGAAAGGGUGUCAAGGACUAGGGAUUUUCUUAUCCAUAAAAUGCAAUAUGGAAAUGUCGGCAUACUGUGAUUCAGAUUAUGCAACCUGUCCUAUGAGCCGAAGAUCCAUUACAAGCUUCUGCAUUAAGCUUGGAGAAUCUCUUCUUUCAUGGAGGACCAAGAAGCAGGCCACCGUAUCAUUAUCUUCAGCUGAGGCAAAAUAUCGAGCCAUGGCAAGGACUAUUUGUGAGAUUAUAUGGAUACGGGGAUUGCUCCAGGAUCUUGGGAUAAAAUUGAAGGGUCCGACAAGAUUGUUCUGUGACAACAAUGCAACGCUCAAACUUGUAGCUAACCCCAUAAUGCAUGAAAGAACAAAGCAUAUAGAAGUGGAUUGUCAUUUCACUCGAGAAAAAAUUCAAAAAGGGAUAAUUGAGACAAGAGGAAUUGGAACGGCAGAACAACCGGCUGAUAUUUUUGCGAAGCCCCUAUGUCAAAGACAACAUGCAUAUCUAUUGAGCAAGCUAAGUGUCUUGGACAUCUACCAGCCACUAACUUGAGGGGGAGUGUUGAAAGAUAUGCAUCAGAUCGGAUGUUGGAGAUAUGCUCGGAAUCUCGCUUGGUUAUGAUUGUUUAUAAAUUAGUUAGGAAUCAGAAUCUAAUUUAUUGUGAUAUCACAAAAUAUACUUUUACCUUUUUCUUGUAUUAUCUCUGUACUAUAAUUACAGAAGUUUGUACAACAGAAUAUAUAAUGAGUACAAAUUUCCACAUCUCUCUCGUUUUCUUCAGAAUAGUUCAUCUUCUUUCAUGAAAGAACAGAACUAUCACCGGGCAAUGCAAAAUGGGAGAACGUUAAGCUGCUUAUUCUCUUCAGUUUGACCAACUUAAGGGAUCUGAAGUCUGCUUAAGGAGGUUUCGUGGGUGACUUGUGAAUGCGUGGGCAUACACCCUUUGGAGAUUGCAAGGAAUAGAUGGGGAAGCAGCUAGGAUUGACCUGGUUGACCCCUUAAUGCUAGCUCAUAGCAAUACAAGUUCGCACGUAUAAUGUCAACUCUCUGAGAAGAAAGCUUCAAUGUGGGUCGUGUAGGGCAUCAACGGUUCCUGGUCAGACCACCGACACCUUAGUGGGGCUUCUGUUUCUCUGCUGACGGCAUGUCUCAAAGAUGCGGUACCGAAACUUCGUGAAAUCUAGGCUUUGAUUCGUCAAGAAAUUCCAAAAAAUAAUCUUAUGCUGCAGCUGGCUAGGGAGAUGGUGAUUGCCUUCUGAUCUUCAAAACAACUUGAAAGUACUUCGGUAAAUUAUAGCGUCCCUCCCCUGAGACUGGUUUGGGUUCGUGCUGACUUACGGGACGCAAAAUUCGGAGGUUAGGUCCUGUUGAAGGAAAGCGACUUUUCGACCAGUUGGAUCGUGAAAUUUGGACGCUAAUGUGCAUUGUCUAUGCUUAUUGAAUUGGAAUGGGUGUGACAAUCCACUUUCCGAAGUGGUCAGAUCCCGACUUUGAUCGUCAUGAAUGAGAACAUAAUGAUGCGCAUACUAAGUUUUGGAAAAAUGUAAAGGCUGAAAAAGGGUCGAUAGGCUGAUCAAGAAUAACUUUGAAAGGGUGAUACACGGAUCGCAUUUUAUGUGAAUUUGAAUUUUGGGAUGCUUUGCUUGGGAUCACUCUCACUUAGUACCCGUUAUUUUUCUAUGCCAUUGACGUCAUCGAUGAAUCUCGCGUCUUUAGAGCAUGCGAAGCAUCGGCGAACAACCAGCUAAAAUGAGAAAAGGAUAGAUAAAUCUUCAGUGGCUAUACUCAUCGUAUCCACUGUAACAAUCUUCAGUGGUUAUACUCAUCGUAUCCACUGUAACUUGGUCACGGCAUUAUCACUGCAAACGCCCGGUUUUCUCUCUUUAAAAACUACGGUGAUACAGGAUCGCUCCUCCGAGACUUGAUCCACAAGUCCGAUUUUAUCUGAGCCAAUGCAUAAAAACACAUCGCUCACGCCUCCCGCAACAUGUAUUAAUUUCUACUCUUGAAAGGUCAGAACAAUGGGCUGGUUAGGUCCCCGUUGCUUCAAGCAAGCACAGCAACGAUCACUCAAGAAGGAAGAAAAAAUUGUAAGCGUAUCAGUUUAGCUCUGAAAAACUCCGGAAAUCAGCUGAUAUUACAGCGACAGGGGCAACAAUAUCGUGUAUAAAUUAGCAAAAUGAAUGGACUUUUAACCAUUCGGUCUAAUUCCUACUCUCUUCCUAUGUACAGGAACUGAAAUAGCCCAAUCUCAAAAUGGAUGAAUGUACAACUACAAAUACCUGUCCCAAAUCUGCCAUGGAAAACACAGCAAAAACCCUACAUCAGGAUCAAUACAGCGAUGCGUAUUAGGUACACAAUGUUUUAUUUAUGCACCGUAGAUGCCAAAGCUUUAGCUCGUUCCUCGUUGACCUCUUGCUGACCACUCUCUACCGUGUCACUGACAAGCCUCUCGCCUCCAUCUAGAUCCACCACAGCAGGAUCACCUGUGGAAUUCCUGAAGCUGUCUUGGGUCAAAACCCUCUGCCUGAGAUAUUUCUGGGUGGCAUCAUGUUGCAACUUCACCAUACCACCAGAAUCUGACCCAGGCGAGAGCUCCUCCUCGCGCUCUGGCUGAAUAUUAAGAUCGAUCUGACCUUUAAAAGGUGAACCCGAGCUUUUAACCCUGUUCAUUUCGUCGUCAGAACCAUCGUUGCCCACCUUUUUCUGGCUUGGGCUGCCAUUUGCAAUGUUGUUAUUGCACUGUGAAGGGUCGUCUUCCGGUGAUUUUUCUGCAAGUGAUAGGUUCUGAUGUUGCAGCUUCUUGCGCGAACCUUCCGCUUCUUUCUCCGACUGUUUCUUUUCGCGCCUCAGCAUCAAGGUGCGGAAACGGCGCUUUACGGUCAGACAGACAUUACAUGUGCAUGUUUGCUUGUGUUUUGGGCCCUUUCCACUGGGGGGUUGUAUACAAACAAUACACGAACACCCUGGUCGGUGUCGUGGGUGCUUUGUUGUGGCUUGAGAUGAUGAAGAAGAUGAUGGGAGCACCUCGCCUUCUCCUAAGAUUGCUAGGUUGGCGAGAGUAUCCAACCCCUCCAGUGCUUCCAUAUUCUCUUGUUUAGGAGCCUUAGCUUUCUUAGAAGGUGCUGCACAACCACAAUGAUGGAUUGAUUACGAGAAAUCAGAUCAAAGUCAAAAAGACCACCAAACUAAGGUACAAGUAAUUCAAUAUACCAAACUCAAGUCAAUUUCCUACACAUUAACAAAAUUAAACAUACCAGCCCAUCCUUAGAAGAAAAAUCUGAGUUGAAUAUGGUGAACUAGAAUAAAGAAAAGUUAGGUUUGAUGUAAUUCCGUCACUUUGGAUUUGGACCUUGUACUAUUACUCAAGCCCUUCAACAGAAUCCCAGGCAGGUUCUCUACUGAACCAUAUAGAAGUUUCCAUCAAUUUAGAUAAAUCAGGGUCAAAGGUCCCAUGGCACCUUGCUUUGACCUGAGCUAUGCACCAACCAAAUACACCUGAUCUGUGCAUUGAUGGUCCCCACUACACCAUUCACUUGGGAGUUCUUACUCCAUAUUACCAAACUAAAGGAAGUGAGUGGGCUACUGUCAAGGAAUUUUGUCAGGCAUUUCAUACAAGAUCCUAGAAAUAGCACCCAUCCAUGAGGAUCCCCACUAUGCAAUGGUUAUUCAUUGUUUGCAGCUCUCCUUGCUAUUCUCCAAAGAGGCUUCUACGUCUCAAAUCUGCAAGUUUUCCAGUCGCAGGAGGAUAACUCACUGCUAGGCCAAGGUCCAUAUACUGAGAUCAUUUCUUGCGAGAAAAGCCUCAUUUUUGGUUAAUCUAGUCACUCAAGACAGGCUAUCCCCAGAUGACUCAACAAUAGUACUAUGUUCAGCACCCUUCAACUGCCAUUAGUUUGACGGUAAAACGAAUCCUGGGUUGUAAACAGUGAUUAAUCUGCAUGAACCAUAUUGCGUGUACUUAUGCUAACAGGACAUUAAAUAUUCAUAAUAGAAGACUCUGGUCUUCUUUAAGCAAAAAAAAAUUUCUUUGCUCUCUCAGACUCCGAAUAAUAUCAUGAAACAAAUAAUAAUUUUUAUGCCUUGUAUUAUCUUUUAGAUAAAUAAGCACAUGUACUAGCAUACAGCUAUGAAUAUGGCAAAAAUACAAUCGUUUGUGUUUAAAUACCGGUUUGUGGCAAAUUAAUUUGCUUCUGUGCAUUUUUGGCUAAGCCAUGGAAAACUUCUCAAACGUAUCCAAACUUCCCCUCCUUGAAGGAUCUCUCAUUUUUGUUUGCACAUUGCAAUAUCGGUCCAUUUCCCAGAUUAAAAUGGAGCACCAUUCAAAGACAACAUGACAAAGUCAUAGGCCACAACAGAGGCAAUCUGUAACCUUUAUUUACUAAGAGUGUAGGCAGUCGUAUUGUAAUAAUUUUUUGCCUACUUUAAACCAAAGUACAGGAAGUCUAUCCAUCUAUCAGUGUCCCAAGCAAACCAUACCUGGAUUAUCAUCAGGUGGCAUAUCUUCAAGCUCUUCUGCUGUCAAGUCUUGAUCCGCCGAGCAGGAUGAUCUGGUGAAACAUAAUACUUAGAGCUAUGGAUUAAAUAAGCAAGGUAAUACACAUAUUUUUCUAUCAAAUGUGAAGGUUAAAUGGCCAAAUGACCAACUUUUAAAAGAGGGAAGACAUUCUCUAAUGAGUAUGGCAUAACAGAACCGGAGGCUCCAAAAACAAUACCAGGAAAAAAGCUAUUGUUCAGCAAUCAGAGAAGCAUCAUAUCACUCAAAGCUCCCAAUUAGUAAAUAGAGUUGCAAAUAGCUUACCGGUUCCCACCACAGAGUGAAAAGGACUACUGUAAAUCUACAAGUCUAAUGUAUCCUACAACUUAUAAAUAAGAAUAGGUUUCAAACAGCUCAUGGGUACAUUAAAAUUAAGACUAAGGCAUGACAGCAGUAUAACCCGGAUCGAGCGAGCCCCCUCAUGACCCCUCGCGCGGACAAAAAGAUUCGAGGCAACACGAAAAUCCCCCCCAGCAACUGCGAACAACAGCAGAAAAACACGCAAUCCGCAAAGCGGCGACGGGAACCGAAACGCCUCUCUUCCUCCCUCCACCCCAUUCCCGCGACUUCUUUCUGCGCAGCCGGGGAACGACGAAUCGCGAGGAUCCGCACCGGGGGCUCCUCCCGCGACGAAACCGCGAGAUCGCAACGGAAUUCGCUGAAUCCAUCGAUCACCACCCCCGAGAUCAACUCGACCGCGCCCAAAAAAAGAGAAUGCAGAAAAGGAAACGGAUUGCGAUCGUACUCCGAUGCGCACGAGGCAGGCGAGAGAGAUCCCCGUAUCGCGUUCCCUCUGCAAAUCCGUGCGGCCGCAGAUCGGCGACGAAUCCCGCCGGCGAGAUAGAGAUAGAGAGAGAGAGAGAGAGAGAGGGAAUUCGAUAUUUGGAGAGUCGCGACAGGUAGGGGUGUAAAAAAAAACGGACAUUUCUUCGUAACGAAGCUUCUCAAUCUUUUUAGAUGAAGUACAGUGUUAAACCUGAGGCAAGCAUAUGGAAUGGUGACAUGAAGAAAAGUCCCCAUAUUUCUCUUUAGCUUGACUAAUCGAUUUAAAGCAGUUUAUUCUAGUGCUUGGAACCUACACGACAUGACACGACACGCCGACACGUCAUUUAUUAAAAAUAGAAAAUUUCGACACGUUCUGACACGUUAUAUAUUAAAUAUAUUUUUAUAUAUAAAUGCAUAAAUAAAUAAUAAUAAAAUAGCCUAGAAUUAAUUUAUACGAAAAAUAUUAAAUAAUAUCAUUCAUUAUUUUAAUUUGUUACAAUAAUACACAAAACUUAGAGGAAAAAAAUAUUGUUUAAAGAAAAAUGCUGAAAUGAUAUUUUUAAAUUUAUUUAUUUGUCAUAUAUAGCAUUUUUUAUUACUUCUUUCAUAAUAAAAGACUUUUAAAAAAAUAAAACAAUUCUAAAAUAAAAAACAGAAAAAAAAAUAUUGACCCUAUGCGUGUAUAUUUAUAGCAAUUUUAUUACUUCUUUUAUUAUUCUUUUGGGUAUACUUAUAUUUUGAGCUCUCAAGUAUUAGAAAUUUUUAAAAUUGACCCCGUGCGUGUCAGAAUCACAUGUCGGAAUUCUGGACUCGCGUGUCGGAGAGAGUUAACCACAUGUCGGAUUUUUUGACACUCGUUGACCGUGUGUCGGAAUGUGUCGAGACGUGUCAGAGCAUGUCGGACACGUGUCAGAAGUGUCGGAUACGACACAAAGGCUUCCGGAGAAUGUCCGUGAUACAUAACUUGGAACUAAUGCUACAACAAACUACCGUCCCUAUGGAGCGACCUUGAAGCCACAGAAGAGAAACUCGAGGGACUAGAGGAGACACUCGCACAGUAUCGAUCGAUCAAAGAAAGGGAAAAGGCAACCCAUUUUUUGCUGAUUUUGAACAAUUCAUACCUGACUUUUCGUUCAUAGAUUUUGGCCAUGGAACCGGUGCCGCCUCUUGGACAGAUUUUUCAAUUGGCCGUCCAAGAAGAGAGCCAAAGGCUCGCAUCAUCAAACUCAGCGAAAGGAGGAGAGAGUUUCGCCCUCGCAAGCCGCAGGGAAAGGAGAGAUGCGGGAACGAAAACCCUAGCGUAGCACGAAAAGGGAGCGCAGGAAGAAGAGCUAGGGUUUCGGCCCGACACGCCCAACUUCUUAAAAGAGGAGGAAUGGACGGCCCAGAUCUCUCACGCCGAUCGGACGGUCCAAAAAGAUUCACUUACUUGAGUGGAUCGGACGGCGGAGAUGGCUCGAAUGGAAAAGGAUCCGACGGUGGUGGAAUUUUCUCAGCAUUUGCAAAAAAUUUUAAUGCAAAAGGAAAAGGUACAUUAUAUUGUGAGUUUUGUAGACGUCCACACCAUACAAUAGAAAAUUGUUGGAAACUGCAUAGUAAACCCAGAGAAAAAGGAAAAAAGAAGGAAAUUUCUACAGCUUAUCAAAUCAGUGAUUCUAGUGCUGAUCGAUCUAUAACAUAUGAACAAUAUCAACAUAUGAUGCAAGCACUACAGAAAUUAGACACCUCAAGCAAGAGAGGAAAUUUUUCAGGUCUCUCUCGUUGCCUGAUUAAUAAUAUUUCGAGAAAAGCUUGGAUAAUUUAUUCUGGGGCAAGUGAUCAUAUUAUCUGUGAAAGGAGGUUAUUUUCAGAUAUACAUGAGAACCCGGAUUUCCUUAUUACUGUGCAAUUACCCAAUAGGAAUGUCACUCAUGUUACUAUUACUAGAACAGUCAAACUUAGCCCAUAAAUCAUACUCCAAAAUGUCCUUUAUGUACCAGAAUUUCGGUUUAACAUUGUUUCUGUGUCCAAAGUUUGCAAAGAAAAUUCAUGUCAUGUCGUGUUUGAUUCUGACACUUGCUUCUUUCUGGCCCUUUCGACUGACGGAGUGAUAGGCUUGGGUAGUCUCUCUAAAGGACUGUUUCUUUGGACAAAUUUCCCAAGUAAUCUUGAUUUGUUAUCGUUUUGUUCCAAUAAAACAUCAUUGUGUAAUACAACUACCAAUGAUAAAAAUUAUCUUAUGCAUUCCCGAUUGGGUCAUAGUGCUUCAUUUUCUCACUCUAAGUGUCAAAUAUGUCCCCUUGCAAAACAAUCACGCAUUCCUUUUCCUUCUAGCAAAAGCCGUGCCGAUAACAUUUUUUCAUUGAUUCAUGUGGAUGUUUGGGGCCCUUAUCAUACUUUACAUCAUGAUGGGUCACGUUAUUUCUUGACAAUUGUGGACGACUAUUCUCGUGCCACAUGGGUUUUUCUAAUGCAGUCAAAGGGACAAGUUUUCUCACAUUUGAAAACUUUUAUCACCCUAUCCAAGAACCAAUUUGGGAAAUCUAUUCAGUGAAUCCGGACAAACAAUGGGAAUGAAUUUUUCAACAAUGACUGCAAUUUCCUCCUACUAUCUCACGGAUUCUCCAUGAAAGUUCUUGCGUCUAUACCCCCACAACAGAAUGGAGUAGUGGAGCGUAAACAUCGCCACUUAUUGGAAGUUGCACAUGCGUUGAGAUUUCAAGCAUCUAUUCCGGAACAUUAUUGGGGCAAAUGCAUAGUUACUGCAGCCUACCUCAUCAACCGCAUGCCAACUCGGGUACUCAAUGGAAAAACUCCAUUUGAGCUACUCUUCAAGAAGAAACCAGAAUUGGAGCAUUUAAGGAUAUUCGGAUGCCUGUGCUUUGCUACUAUAUUGGGCCCUCGAGACAAAAUGGGCCCCCGAGCUCGACGUUGCGUCUUCAUGGACUAUCCGAACCUACAAAAAGGAUUUCGUGUCCUUGAUCAGUCGACUUUGGAAUUCUUCGUCAGCAGAGAUGUCAUUUUUCAUGAAAACGUGUUUCCUUUUCAUGAAAAGGAUUUUUUGGGAGAAAUUCCAGGCACUUCCAUACGUCCUGAUGACUCCCCAUCUAUAGAAGAAUCGACUCCUGGAUAUUUUCUGACAAGAAAUCCAUAAGUUGUUCCAAUGAUGAGUCCAAUUUCUAUUGAAGAUCCUACACCAGAAGUUGCUAUAGAAACAGUUCAAGAAAGUUUCCUAGUGAUAGAAGCUCCUUCCAAUGAGAUUGGCGUUAUUGAAAGAUCUUCCCCAUCCUCUACUCUACCGCAAGCAAAUCCUCCUCGAUGAUCUGGUCAUUCUACACAACCACCAACUUGGACAAAGGAUUAUGUUUGUGCAUCCCUCAACUCACUAGGUACCCACUACCCAAUAUCAUCUUAUGUUUUGUUUCAUUGACUUUCACCGGAACAUAGAUGUUGUGUUAGUCGAAUAUCGGAGGAUAUCGAACCAUCCAGCUAUGAAGAAGCAGUUGGCGAUACAAGGUGGCAAGAAGCUAUGGGAGAUGAAUUACAAGCUUUAAUUGCCAAUAAGACCUGGGAUUUGGUAAAUCUACCUCCGCAUAGGAAACCCAUUGGAUGCAAGUGGAAAUACAAGAUUAAAUACUGAGCCGAUGGCUCCACUAAACGUUACAAAGCUCAGUUGGUGGCCAAAGAAUUUACUCAACGGGAAGGUUUCGACUACCAUGAAACAUUUUCCCCAGUGGCUAAGGAUGUAACUAUAAGGUCCUUUCUAUCUAUUGUAGCUAUUAAUGAUUAGCCAUUACAUCAAAUGGAUGUGCAUAAUGCUUUCAAAUGGAUGUGCAUAAUGCUUUUCUGCAUUGAGAUUUAGAUGAGGAAAUAUAUAUAGAUAUCCCUCAAGGAUUACAGAGACAUGGGGAGAAUAGAGUAUGUCGUCUCCACAAAUCCCUCUAUGACCUAAAGCAAACGUCUAGGCAAUGGUACGCCAAAUUUGCUUAUGCUCUCACCUCUGCAGGCUUCAAACAGUCCAAAUAUGAUUACGCCUUAUUCACAUGGACUCAAGGUAUGUCAUCUAUUUACUUGAUGAUAUAUGUUGAUGAGAUCCUUAUCAUGGGCAGUGAUAGAAUUGCAAUAGAAAAUUUCAAGAAGUACCUGCAUUUUACUUUUCACAUUAAAGACUUGGGAGCACUAAAAUACUUCCUUGGGAUCGAGAUUGCUCAAUCUGAUUGUGGGAUUUCUCUUAGCCAACGGAAGUUUGUGCUGGAAAUUAUUUCUGAAGCAUGUCUUUCAGGAUGCAAACCAUCGGUUAUUCCAAUUGAGCAUAACAUAAAAUUGACCACCAAAGAUUAUGAUGUUGGAACAUCUAAGAAUCAUGAUCCCGUUCUCAAGGAUCCUUCAAGUUAUCAGAAGCUCGUCAGGAAACUCAUAUAUCUAACUAUAACCAGACCUGAUAUAUCAUAUGCAGUGCAGACUCUCAGUUAAUUUAUACACAGUCCCAAAUUGUCUCAUAUGAGUGCUGCUUUAAAGGUCAUGAAGUACUUGAAAGGGUGUCCAGGACUAGGGAUUUUCUUAUCCAAUAAAUGCAAUAUGGAAAUGUCGGCAUACUGUGAUUCAGAUUAUGCAACAUGUCCUAUGAGCCGAAGAUCCAUUACAAGCUUCUGCAUUAAGCUUGGAGAAUCUCUUCUUUCAUGGAGGACCGAGAAGCAGGCCACCGUAUCAUUAUCUUCAGCUGAGGCAAAAUAUCAAGCCAUGGCAAAGACUACUUGUGAGAUUAUAUGGAUACGGGGAUUGCUCCAGGAUCUUGGGAUAAAUUUGAAGGGUCCGACAAGAUUGUUCUGUGACAACGAUGUAGCACUCAAACUUGCAGCUAACCCCAUGGUGCAUGAAAGAACGAAACAUAUAGAAGUGGAUUGUCAUGUCACUUGAGAAAAAAAUUCAAAAAUGGAUAAUUGAGACGAGGAAUUGGAAGGGCAGAACAACCGGCUGAUAUUUUUGCGAAGCCCCUAUGUCAAAGACAACAUGCAUAUCUAUUGAGCAAGCUAAGUGUCUUGGACAUCUACCAACCACUACCUUGAGAGGGAGUGUUGGAAGAUAUGCAUCAGAUCGGUUCUCGGAGAUAUGCUCGGAAUCUCGCUUGAUUAUGGUUGUGCAUAAAUUAGUUAGGAAUUGGAAUCUGAUUUUAUUGUGAUAUCACAAAAUAUACUUUUACCUUUUUCUUGUAUUAUCUUUGUACUAUAAUUACAGAAGUUUGUACAACAGAAUAUAUAAUGAGUACAAAUUUCCACAUCUCUCUCGUUUUCUUCAGAAUAGUUCAUCUUCUUUCAUGAAAGAACAGAACUAUCACCAGGCAAUGCAAAAUGGGAGAACGUUAAGCUGCUUAUUCUCUUCAGUUUGACCAACUUAAGGGAUCUGAAGUCUGCCUAAGGAGGUUUUGUGGGUGACUUGUGAAUGCGUGGGCAUACACCCUUUGGAGAUUGCAAGGAAUAGAUGGGGAAGCAGCUAGGAUUGACCUGGUUGACCCCUUAAUGCUAGCUCAUAGCAAUACAAGUUCACACGUAUAAUGUCAACUCUCUGAGAAGAAAGCUUCAAUGUGGGUAGUGUAGGGCAUCAACGGUUCCUGGUCAGACCACCGAAACCUUAGUGGGGCUUCUGUUUCUCUGCUGACGGCAUGUCUCAAAGAUGCGGUACCGAAACUUCGUGAAAUCUAGGCUUUGAUUCGUCAAGAAAUUCCAAAAAAUAAUCUUAUGCUGCAGCUGGCUAGGGAGAUGGUAAUUGCCUUCUGAUCUUCAAAACAACUUGAAAGUACUUCGGUAAAUUAUAGCGUCCCUCCCCUGAGACUGGUUUGGGUUCGUGCUGACUUACGGGACGCAAAAUUCGGAGGUUAGGUCCUGUUGAAGGAAAGCGACUUUGCGACCAGUUGGAUCGUGAAAUUUGGACGCUAAUGUGCAUUGUCUAUGCUUAUUGAAUUGGAAUGGGUGUGACAAUCCACUUUCCGAAGUGGUCAGAUCCCGACUUUGAUCGUCAUGAAUGAGAACAUAAUGAUGCGCAUACUAAGUUUUGGAAAAAUGUAAAGGCUGAAAAAGGGUCGAUAGGCUGAUCAAGAAUAACUUUGAAAGGGUGAUACACGGAUCGCAUUUUAUGUGAAUUUGAAUUUUGGGAUGCUUUGCUUGGGAUCACUCUCACUUAGUACCCGUUAUUUUUCUAUGCCAUUGACGUCAUCGAUGAAUCUCGCGUCUUUAGAGCAUGCGAAGCAUCGGCGAACAACCAGCUAAAAUGAGAAAAGGAUAGAUGAAUCUUCAGUGGCUAUAAUCGUAUCCACCGUAACAAUCUUCAGUGGUUAUACUCAUCGUAUCCACUGUAACUUGGCCACGCCAUUAUCACUGCAAACACCCGGUUUUCUCUCUUAAAAACUACAGUGAUACAGGAUCGCUCCUCCGAGACUUGAUCCUCAAGUCCGAUUUUAUCUGAGCCAAUGCAUAAAAACACAUCGCUCACGCCUCCCGCAACAUGUAUUAAUUUCUACUCUUGAAAGGUCAGAACAAUGGGCUGGUUAGGUCCCCGUUGCUUCAAGCAAGCACCGCAACGACCACUCAAGAAGGAAGAAAAAAUUGUAAGCGUAUCAGUUUAGCUCUUAAAAACUCCGGAAAUCAGCUGAUAUUACAGCGACAGGGGCAACAAUAUCGUGUAUAAAUUAGCAAAAUGAAUGGACUUUNNNNNNNNNNNNNNNNNNNNNNNNNNNNNNNNNNNNNNNNNNNNNNNNNNNNNNNNNNNNNNNNNNNNNNNNNNNNNNNNNNNNNNNNNNNNNNNNNNNNACUCUCUUCCUAUGUACAGGAACUGAAAUAGCCCAAUCUCAAAAUGGAUGAAUGUACAACUACAAAUACCUGUCACAAAUCUGCCAUGGAAAACACAGCAAAAACCCUACAUCAGGAUCAAUACAGCGAUGCGUAUUAGGUACACAAUGUUUUAUUUAUGCACCGUAGAUGCCAAAGCUUUAGCUCGUUCCUCGUUGACCUCUUGCUGACCACUCUCUACCGUGUCACUGACAAGCCUCUCGCCUCCAUCUAGAUCCACCACAGCAGGAUCACCUGUGGAAUUCCUGAAGCUGUCUUGGGUCAAAACCCUCUGCCUGGGAUAUUUCUGGGGGGCAACAUGUUGCAACUUCACCAUACCACCAGAAUCUGACCCAGGCGAGAGCUCCUCCUCGCGCUCUGGCUGAAUAUUAAGAUCGAUCUGACCUUUAAAAGGUGAACCCGAGCUUUUAACCCUGUUCAUUUCGUCGUCAGAACCAUCGUUGCCCACCUUUUUCUGGCUUGGGCUGCCAUUUGCAAUGUUGUUAUUGCACUGUGAAGGGUCGUCUUCCGGUGAUUUUUCUGCAAGUGAUAGGUUCUGAUGUUGCAGCUUCUUGCGCGAACCUUCCCCUUCUUUCUCCGACUGUUUCUUUUCGCGCCUCAGCAUCAAGGUGCGGAAACGGCGCUUUACGGUCAGACAGACAUUACAUGUGCACGUUGGCUUGUGUUUUGGGCCCUUUCCACUGGGGGGUUGUAUACAAACAAUACAUGAACACCCUGGUCGAUGUCGAGGGUGCUUUGUUGUGGCUUGAG